AGCUUUGCGCAGAGGCAGUGUCAUAGCCAAUGAGGUUCUACCGAGGCGUGACUAUUGUAGAGAUGGGCAAAACUGCUGGGACCCAAAAGUAACAGUGACAAAUAGCAGUGACUGUUAUUAUUUCGAUAUAGAUUUAAUCGAUAUUUUA